rnacentral:rRNA from 1 species
GAUGAACGCUAGCGGCAGGCUUAAUACAUGCAAGUCGAGGGGCAGCAGGAUUGUAGCAAUACAGUUGCUGGCGACCGGCAAACGGGUGCGGUACACGUACGCAACCUUCCUUUAACUGGAAGAUAGCCCACCGAAAGGUGGAUUAAUACUCCAUAAUAUAUUGAAGAGGCAUCUUUUUAAUAUUAAAGCUCCGGCGGUUAAAGAUGGGCGUGCGUCUGAUUAGGUAGUUGGCGGGGUAACGGCCCACCAAGCCUUCGAUCAGUAGCUGAUGUGAGAGCAUGAUCAGCCACACGGGCACUGAGACACGGGCCCGACUCCUACGGGAGGCAGCAGUAAGGAAUAUUGGUCAAUGGACGCAAGUUUGAACCAGCCAUGCCGCGUGGAGGAUGAAGGCCCUCUGGGUUGUAAACUUCUUUUCUUUGGGACGAAACCCCUGUUUCUACGGGGACUGACGGUACCAGAGGAAUAAGCACCGGCUAACUCCGUGCCAGCCGCCGCGGUAA